GGAGGGAUGCCGGAGCGGCCGAACGGUCACGUCUUGAAAACGUGCGGGUGUAACAGCCCCGUGGGUUCGAAUCCCACUCCCUCCGCCA
rnacentral:tRNA from 1 species